AUUGAACGCUAGCGGGAUGCCUUACACAUGCAAGUCGAACGGAGUGGCGGACGGGUGAGUAAUAUAUUGGAACGUGCCUAGUAGCGGGGGAUAACUACUCGAAAGUGUGGCUAAUACCGCAUACUAUCAGAUGAGCCUAGGUGGGGUUAGCUAGUUGGUGGGGUAACGGCCCACCAAGGCGACGAUCCGUAGCUGGUCUGAGAGGAUGAUCAGCCACACUGGAACUGAGACACGGUCCAGACUCCUACGGGAGGCAGCAGUGGGGAAUAUUGGACAAUGGGCGCAAGCCUGAUCCAGCCAUGCCGCGUGUAUGAAGAAGGUCUUCGGGUUGUAAAGCACUUUCAGUUGGGAGGCGUUACCAGCAGAAGAAGCACCGGCUAACUCCGUGCCAGCAGCCGCGGUAAUAC
rnacentral:rRNA from 1 species